rnacentral:rRNA from 1 species
UACGUAGGGGGCGAGCGUUGUCCGGAGUUACUGGGCGUAAAGCGCACGCAGGCGGUGCUGCGCGUUUGGGGUUACAGCUCCCGGCUCAACCGGGGGAGCGCCUCGAAGACGGCAGCACUUGAGGGCCAGAGAGGGACACGGAACUCCGGGUGGAGUGGUGAAAUGCGUAGAUAUCCGGAAGAACACCAAAGGCGAAGGCAGUGUCCUGGCUGGUACCUGACGCUCAGGUGCGAAAGCUAGGGGAGCGAACGGG